rnacentral:lncRNA from 1 species
ACGUCAGCUGGAUCUUGAAUGAGAUGAAGACGGGGAGAAAGGGCCUUCCGGACAAAGGGCUUACGCCCUGGAUAAAGGGCGUGGAGGGGCGUGGCACGUUCAGUCUGGACACAGCAUAAAGUGCAUUGGAGAGAGGCGGGAGACAGGAUGGAAAGGAGGGUGGGAAGAGCUAUGAAGCUCCCCAGGGCCUUGCUAACGCGUUUGGACUUUAUCCCGCGCCAGACUUUUUAAAGGUGGGUUGGAGGGAGACUGACGAACUCAACUACCAGCCUGCAGUCGGCAGCCAUCAGCGGAUUGCAGGUACCCCGCGUGCGUGUCUCGGCUACAGUGCGGAAGACAAGAGGCCUUAGGAAGUGGGAACGGGCGCCAUCUGGUGGUCAUCUCUGGAGUGACAGCAGAGAACUGGAACAUAUUUUAUAUUUUGUUUCCACUGCUCCAUGACUUGACUAAAGCAGAAACAAUUCGGAGAGUACUGUAGUAUUAAAUACCUAAGGGCCACACCAGGCCAGAAAGCAACAAAAAAGAAAUGCUAAAAAGAAGUUCUUCAGAGAGGGAUCCAAGAAG